GCCGAGUUAGCUCAUGUUCGGUAGAGCGCACGCCUGAAAAGUGUGAGGUGCCCGGAUCGUCGCCGGGACUCGGCACCA
rnacentral:tRNA from 1 species